rnacentral:lncRNA from 1 species
AAAGGAACACAAAAUAUUCGUAUCUACUAACUGCAACUAAUUCUUUUUAAAAAUAAAAAAUAAAAUUCUACACAACCAUAAGAACUCUAGCCAUUUUAUAGAUGUAUAGGGGAGAAAGUGCCACCAACCCAGUUAUAGAAUUAUAGAGUCAUAUUUUUAGAAUUCAUCAAAAUGACGCAACGAUCUAUUAAUCUAUGCUACGAUUAUAUUAAAAUUGGCACAACAAAGUAAUGCAUGCCUAUCCAAAAUAUGGCUGUAUAUUCCCGUGUCUGUUUAUGAUCAAUACCCUUAUACUUUUCUUAUUUAAUGAAUGAUACACAUUUCUGAUUUCUUCCUCAUACCUAAACCAAAAAAAAAAAAGAUGUAGAAUGGCAGAAACAAAUAUGAAAAAAGCACAUUAAUUGUUUUUCAUAAUUACACAAUUAAAGAAUUAAUCUGACUGCUAGCUCCUUAAUUCUGAAACUUCAACGUUGAAAAUUAAUAUAUCAUACUACUAGCCAGCUGGCUAGCAUGAAUUGAUCAGGGGCAUUGCGGAUUUCUUCCAGGGCCUCCAUAGUAAAAAUGUGUCCCCCAUUCAUUGUUAUAGGAGUUUUUGAUGUUGUAACAAUUUGUGUUCUCAGCUAGAAUUGAAAUGUCUCGUACUGAGCUGAGGCUGUUAUCGGAAUCAACAAUUUCCAGGUUCCUGAAAUAGCUUGCUUUUCCAAACCCAUCUUCAGCAAAAUGGCCUGAACCCAUUUGGGUCGAUGUGUGCUCACCGUUGGCCCUUGAGUUCACCACUUCGCCUCCCCACUCCACCAUCGUCGCAUGGUCUGCUAAGUGUGUGAAUAGCUCCGCUGGCCAGUACCCGACUAGCAAGUUUUCACCAAAUCCCAUCCACCAAUUCCCCAGUUUUGGAUCCUAAUAAUCACACCAAGACACAUUGAAUUACACGUGAUUUGCGAAUGUCCGCAUUUUUUUAAAUGCGAACCAACAAUUCUGUGUAUAGAGAAUCCAUAAAAGAUCAAACACAAAUUAUUUGAUUUCAGUGGAGCAACAAUAUUUCUAUGUAGAUACGAGUUUCGUUUGCAAGACGUUGAAAAAUCUUUAUGAUGUCAAUUAAUUAGUGUAUUUUAUCUGCUGUACGGCCAAGGCGGAUGUACGGUACAGCAGUGAGGACCACUAUUCUUAGUGUGUUGUUUUUUAUUAUGCGGGGGUGCAAGCGUUUCAGCCACUCCAUCUCUACACAGUACACCUUUACAAUUUCCCAAGUUUGAGACAACAACAUCCUCUCCAUCAAUAAAGGCUGUGACACAGAAGGCACCACAUUCUGGACCCUUUUCCACACGCUUAUCCAGCAUAUCCUUGAAACAAAAUAUUAAGAAACGAACAAUAACGAUAUAUAUUUAGACAGAAAAACAGAACGUUGACAAAUUAAAACUGGUCUGAAAAUUUUCAGUUAUUGAGCCAAUUUUUUUUUUUUUUUUGCUUAAUCUAAAAAGACUGAAUGAUAUCAUUAAAAGAUAUUCUCAAAAAUUUUCUUAUUUAACUAAUUAAUUUCCAUCCUUAUCUAAAUAAAAUUUAACAAUUAGCAUUAUUACCCAUAUUUAUAACUUGUGAAAAUAUAAUAGUAUACUAUUAUUAUUUUUAUCCUUUUAUUUUUCUUCAAAGUAGUAUUAUUUAUCUUCACAAUUUUUUAUGAAUAUUUUUCAUAUAAAAAUAUCAUAAACUAUACUAAUUUAGAAUACAAAGGGUUGCAUUCAAUUGAACAUUAUUUAUAUUAUGAUAAUAUAUUAUCUUAUUUAAGUUCUUAGAAAUGCUUCUUAUUUGUUUAACAUUUCUGCUGUACCGUACAUCCGCCUUGGCCGUACAGCAGUAAUUAAAAAAAUAUUGUAGCCGUUAGCUACAAAAAUAAUCAGAUUUAAUCUAAUUAUUUUGGCAUUUUUUAGGGUGAAUUUGUAAUUUUUGUUUGAUGAAGUACAAAAAAAUCUUAACUACUAGAGAUUAUAACUCAAUGAAUAAUAAAACUCUACUUAUCUUAAAUUCAAUUGAUGGUUUGCGAGAUUGGGCUAUUUCUAAUACUACUGUUAUAAUUUAGCAUUCUAAUUACAUACAUAUUUAAAAAAAAAACCCUACAUUUGAUGGUUGUGGAAUUAAUUUCUUUAUUGACCGAUGGGGGAAAUAAUCAGAUUUAAUCUGAUUAUUUUUGGCAUUUUUAGGGUGAAAUUGUAAUUUUUAUUUUGGAGGGGGUAAAAUGGUCAUUUGUUUAAGUUUCCGUUAGUUUUCUUAACGGAUUCCAAACGGAAGUGGAAAAGUGAAACAAAAUGUAACUUUAGGUGGAUUCUAGUAAAAAAAAAAAAAGAAUUGUGUAUUUUUUAAAAAAUUAAAAAAAACGAGUGGACAGUAGCUAUUUUCCCCAAAAUAUUCAAUAACUUAUUGAAAGAAUGAGAGGAAAUCGUUAUCUGUGAUUCCCAAUAAAAAGUAAAAUUGAACACUUUGCAAAUUCGAGAGAAAUGAGUGAGUUAGUCUCCCAUUUGAGCGAUAUAGUAAUGCCUAGAGUUCUGCCGAGACUAAUUCCGAGUGUUGCUCCCACUUACAGGCAGAGAGUUAAACUCAGCACUGUGUAGUUAAAGUGACAAUGGCAUAGUUGAUACGAUAAGUGAUUUAUUGAGGCUUUUAAUAAAUGAUUAAUGGACCACACCCCAGAUAUUAUCAACAGUUACGUACUCUAUUCCCUUCAAUAUUUUUACUGAAAAAAAAAAAGAAUUUGAUGGCUUGAUCUUUUAUCUCAACGAAUUGGAAAUUAAGCAAAAAUUUCUUGCCCAAUCCCAGAAUGUAUCAGUAGCUAACACAAGAACCUCCAUAUCUGAAGUGAACUUAAGGACAUUUGUAUCAGGCUCAGCUAUCAUCCAGUCCUUCAAAGAAGCAAAUCCGAUACUUCUAGAGUAAAAGAAAGUAUCAUUGAAAAGCCAAUCUCUACCUGAGAAGCCGAUAAAUCCCCCGUGAAAACAUAGUAUCCAUGGAAUUAAACCAUAAAAACUGAUGUCAAUUUCAGCUCCUCAUCACUUUUUAAUUUUGACAACACAAAUUAAAAAAGACUAGUACCUUAUCCACAAUCCGCUUGCGUUCAUCCAAAUUGUAUACAUUAUGCGGGGGUGCAAGCGUUUCAGCCACUCCAUCUCUACACAGUACACCUUUACAAUUUCCCAAGUUUGAGACAACAACAUCCUCUCCAUCAAUAAAGGCUGUGACACAGAAGGCACCACAUUCUGGACCCUUUUCCACACGCUUAUCCAGCAUAUCCUUGAAACAAAAUAUUAAGAAACGAACAAUAACGAUAUAUAUUUAGACAGAAAAACAGAACGUUGACAAAUUAAAACUGGUCUGAAAAUUUUCAGUUAUUGAGCCAAUUUUUUUUUUUUUUUUGCUUAAUCUAAAAAGACUGAAUGAUAUCAUUAAAAGAUAUUCUCAAAAAUUUUCUUAUUUAACUAAUUAAUUUCCAUCCUUAUCUAAAUAAAAUUUAACAAUUAGCAUUAUUACCCAUAUUUAUAACUUGUGAAAAUAUAAUAGUAUACUAUUAUUAUUUUUAUCCUUUUAUUUUUCUUCAAAGUAGUAUUAUUUAUCUUCACAAUUUUUUAUGAAUAUUUUUCAUAUAAAAAUAUCAUAAACUAUACUAAUUUAGAAUACAAAGGGUUGCAUUCAAUUGAACAUUAUUUAUAUUAUGAUAAUAUAUUAUCUUAUUUAAGUUCUUAGAAAUGCUUCUUAUUUGUUUAACAUUUCUGCUGUACCGUACAUCCGCCUUGGCCGUACAGCAGUAAUUAAAAAAAUAUUGUAGCCGUUAGCUACAAAAAUAAUCAGAUUUAAUCUAAUUAUUUUGGCAUUUUUUAGGGUGAAUUUGUAAUUUUUGUUUGAUGAAGUACAAAAAAAUCUUAACUACUAGAGAUUAUAACUCAAUGAAUAAUAAAACUCUACUUAUCUUAAAUUCAAUUGAUGGUUUGCGAGAUUGGGCUAUUUCUAAUACUACUGUUAUAAUUUAGCAUUCUAAUUACAUACAUAUUUAAAAAAAAAACCCUACAUUUGAUGGUUGUGGAAUUAAUUUCUUUAUUGACCGAUGGGGGAAAUAAUCAGAUUUAAUCUGAUUAUUUUUGGCAUUUUUAGGGUGAAAUUGUAAUUUUUAUUUUGGAGGGGGUAAAAUGGUCAUUUGUUUAAGUUUCCGUUAGUUUUCUUAACGGAUUCCAAACGGAAGUGGAAAAGUGAAACAAAAUGUAACUUUAGGUGGAUUCUAGUAAAAAAAAAAAAAGAAUUGUGUAUUUUUUAAAAAAUUAAAAAAAACGAGUGGACAGUAGCUAUUUUCCCCAAAAUAUUCAAUAACUUAUUGAAAGAAUGAGAGGAAAUCGUUAUCUGUGAUUCCCAAUAAAAAGUAAAAUUGAACACUUUGCAAAUUCGAGAGAAAUGAGUGAGUUAGUCUCCCAUUUGAGCGAUAUAGUAAUGCCUAGAGUUCUGCCGAGACUAAUUCCGAGUGUUGCUCCCACUUACAGGCAGAGAGUUAAACUCAGCACUGUGUAGUUAAAGUGACAAUGGCAUAGUUGAUACGAUAAGUGAUUUAUUGAGGCUUUUAAUAAAUGAUUAAUGGACCACACCCCAGAUAUUAUCAACAGUUACGUACUCUAUUCCCUUCAAUAUUUUUACUGAAAAAAAAAAAGAAUUUGAUGGCUUGAUCUUUUAUCUCAACGAAUUGGAAAUUAAGCAAAAAUUUCUUGCCCAAUCCCAGAAUGUAUCAGUAGCUAACACAAGAACCUCCAUAUCUGAAGUGAACUUAAGGACAUUUGUAUCAGGCUCAGCUAUCAUCCAGUCCUUCAAAGAAGCAAAUCCGAUACUUCUAGAGUAAAAGAAAGUAUCAUUGAAAAGCCAAUCUCUACCUGAGAAGCCGAUAAAUCCCCCGUGAAAACAUAGUAUCCAUGGAAUUAAACCAUAAAAACUGAUGUCAAUUUCAGCUCCUCAUCACUUUUUAAUUUUGACAACACAAAUUAAAAAAGACUAGUACCUUAUCCACAAUCCGCUUGCGUUCAUCCAAAUUGUAUACAUUAUGCGGGGGUGCAAGCGUUUCAGCCACUCCAUCUCUACACAGUACACCUUUACAAUUUCCCAAGUUUGAGACAACAACAUCCUCUCCAUCAAUAAAGGCUGUGACACAGAAGGCACCACAUUCUGGACCCUUUUCCACACGCUUAUCCAGCAUAUCCUUGAAACAAAAUAUUAAGAAACGAACAAUAACGAUAUAUAUUUAGACAGAAAAACAGAACGUUGACAAAUUAAAACUGGUCUGAAAAUUUUCAGUUAUUGAGCCAAUUUUUUUUUUUUUUUUGCUUAAUCUAAAAAGACUGAAUGAUAUCAUUAAAAGAUAUUCUCAAAAAUUUUCUUAUUUAACUAAUUAAUUUCCAUCCUUAUCUAAAUAAAAUUUAACAAUUAGCAUUAUUACCCAUAUUUAUAACUUGUGAAAAUAUAAUAGUAUACUAUUAUUAUUUUUAUCCUUUUAUUUUUCUUCAAAGUAGUAUUAUUUAUCUUCACAAUUUUUUAUGAAUAUUUUUCAUAUAAAAAUAUCAUAAACUAUACUAAUUUAGAAUACAAAGGGUUGCAUUCAAUUGAACAUUAUUUAUAUUAUGAUAAUAUAUUAUCUUAUUUAAGUUCUUAGAAAUGCUUCUUAUUUGUUUAACAUUUCUGCUGUACCGUACAUCCGCCUUGGCCGUACAGCAGUAAUUAAAAAAAUAUUGUAGCCGUUAGCUACAAAAAUAAUCAGAUUUAAUCUAAUUAUUUUGGCAUUUUUUAGGGUGAAUUUGUAAUUUUUGUUUGAUGAAGUACAAAAAAAUCUUAACUACUAGAGAUUAUAACUCAAUGAAUAAUAAAACUCUACUUAUCUUAAAUUCAAUUGAUGGUUUGCGAGAUUGGGCUAUUUCUAAUACUACUGUUAUAAUUUAGCAUUCUAAUUACAUACAUAUUUAAAAAAAAAACCCUACAUUUGAUGGUUGUGGAAUUAAUUUCUUUAUUGACCGAUGGGGGAAAUAAUCAGAUUUAAUCUGAUUAUUUUUGGCAUUUUUAGGGUGAAAUUGUAAUUUUUAUUUUGGAGGGGGUAAAAUGGUCAUUUGUUUAAGUUUCCGUUAGUUUUCUUAACGGAUUCCAAACGGAAGUGGAAAAGUGAAACAAAAUGUAACUUUAGGUGGAUUCUAGUAAAAAAAAAAAAAGAAUUGUGUAUUUUUUAAAAAAUUAAAAAAAACGAGUGGACAGUAGCUAUUUUCCCCAAAAUAUUCAAUAACUUAUUGAAAGAAUGAGAGGAAAUCGUUAUCUGUGAUUCCCAAUAAAAAGUAAAAUUGAACACUUUGCAAAUUCGAGAGAAAUGAGUGAGUUAGUCUCCCAUUUGAGCGAUAUAGUAAUGCCUAGAGUUCUGCCGAGACUAAUUCCGAGUGUUGCUCCCACUUACAGGCAGAGAGUUAAACUCAGCACUGUGUAGUUAAAGUGACAAUGGCAUAGUUGAUACGAUAAGUGAUUUAUUGAGGCUUUUAAUAAAUGAUUAAUGGACCACACCCCAGAUAUUAUCAACAGUUACGUACUCUAUUCCCUUCAAUAUUUUUACUGAAAAAAAAAAAGAAUUUGAUGGCUUGAUCUUUUAUCUCAACGAAUUGGAAAUUAAGCAAAAAUUUCUUGCCCAAUCCCAGAAUGUAUCAGUAGCUAACACAAGAACCUCCAUAUCUGAAGUGAACUUAAGGACAUUUGUAUCAGGCUCAGCUAUCAUCCAGUCCUUCAAAGAAGCAAAUCCGAUACUUCUAGAGUAAAAGAAAGUAUCAUUGAAAAGCCAAUCUCUACCUGAGAAGCCGAUAAAUCCCCCGUGAAAACAUAGUAUCCAUGGAAUUAAACCAUAAAAACUGAUGUCAAUUUCAGCUCCUCAUCACUUUUUAAUUUUGACAACACAAAUUAAAAAAGACUAGUACCUUAUCCACAAUCCGCUUGCGUUCAUCCAAAUUGUAUACAUUAUGCGGGGGUGCAAGCGUUUCAGCCACUCCAUCUCUACACAGUACACCUUUACAAUUUCCCAAGUUUGAGACAACAACAUCCUCUCCAUCAAUAAAGGCUGUGACACAGAAGGCACCACAUUCUGGACCCUUUUCCACACGCUUAUCCAGCAUAUCCUUGAAACAAAAUAUUAAGAAACGAACAAUAACGAUAUAUAUUUAGACAGAAAAACAGAACGUUGACAAAUUAAAACUGGUCUGAAAAUUUUCAGUUAUUGAGCCAAUUUUUUUUUUUUUUUUGCUUAAUCUAAAAAGACUGAAUGAUAUCAUUAAAAGAUAUUCUCAAAAAUUUUCUUAUUUAACUAAUUAAUUUCCAUCCUUAUCUAAAUAAAAUUUAACAAUUAGCAUUAUUACCCAUAUUUAUAACUUGUGAAAAUAUAAUAGUAUACUAUUAUUAUUUUUAUCCUUUUAUUUUUCUUCAAAGUAGUAUUAUUUAUCUUCACAAUUUUUUAUGAAUAUUUUUCAUAUAAAAAUAUCAUAAACUAUACUAAUUUAGAAUACAAAGGGUUGCAUUCAAUUGAACAUUAUUUAUAUUAUGAUAAUAUAUUAUCUUAUUUAAGUUCUUAGAAAUGCUUCUUAUUUGUUUAACAUUUCUGCUGUACCGUACAUCCGCCUUGGCCGUACAGCAGUAAUUAAAAAAAUAUUGUAGCCGUUAGCUACAAAAAUAAUCAGAUUUAAUCUAAUUAUUUUGGCAUUUUUUAGGGUGAAUUUGUAAUUUUUGUUUGAUGAAGUACAAAAAAAUCUUAACUACUAGAGAUUAUAACUCAAUGAAUAAUAAAACUCUACUUAUCUUAAAUUCAAUUGAUGGUUUGCGAGAUUGGGCUAUUUCUAAUACUACUGUUAUAAUUUAGCAUUCUAAUUACAUACAUAUUUAAAAAAAAAACCCUACAUUUGAUGGUUGUGGAAUUAAUUUCUUUAUUGACCGAUGGGGGAAAUAAUCAGAUUUAAUCUGAUUAUUUUUGGCAUUUUUAGGGUGAAAUUGUAAUUUUUAUUUUGGAGGGGGUAAAAUGGUCAUUUGUUUAAGUUUCCGUUAGUUUUCUUAACGGAUUCCAAACGGAAGUGGAAAAGUGAAACAAAAUGUAACUUUAGGUGGAUUCUAGUAAAAAAAAAAAAAGAAUUGUGUAUUUUUUAAAAAAUUAAAAAAAACGAGUGGACAGUAGCUAUUUUCCCCAAAAUAUUCAAUAACUUAUUGAAAGAAUGAGAGGAAAUCGUUAUCUGUGAUUCCCAAUAAAAAGUAAAAUUGAACACUUUGCAAAUUCGAGAGAAAUGAGUGAGUUAGUCUCCCAUUUGAGCGAUAUAGUAAUGCCUAGAGUUCUGCCGAGACUAAUUCCGAGUGUUGCUCCCACUUACAGGCAGAGAGUUAAACUCAGCACUGUGUAGUUAAAGUGACAAUGGCAUAGUUGAUACGAUAAGUGAUUUAUUGAGGCUUUUAAUAAAUGAUUAAUGGACCACACCCCAGAUAUUAUCAACAGUUACGUACUCUAUUCCCUUCAAUAUUUUUACUGAAAAAAAAAAAGAAUUUGAUGGCUUGAUCUUUUAUCUCAACGAAUUGGAAAUUAAGCAAAAAUUUCUUGCCCAAUCCCAGAAUGUAUCAGUAGCUAACACAAGAACCUCCAUAUCUGAAGUGAACUUAAGGACAUUUGUAUCAGGCUCAGCUAUCAUCCAGUCCUUCAAAGAAGCAAAUCCGAUACUUCUAGAGUAAAAGAAAGUAUCAUUGAAAAGCCAAUCUCUACCUGAGAAGCCGAUAAAUCCCCCGUGAAAACAUAGUAUCCAUGGAAUUAAACCAUAAAAACUGAUGUCAAUUUCAGCUCCUCAUCACUUUUUAAUUUUGACAACACAAAUUAAAAAAGACUAGUACCUUAUCCACAAUCCGCUUGCGUUCAUCCAAAUUGUAUACAUUAUGCGGGGGUGCAAGCGUUUCAGCCACUCCAUCUCUACACAGUACACCUUUACAAUUUCCCAAGUUUGAGACAACAACAUCCUCUCCAUCAAUAAAGGCUGUGACACAGAAGGCACCACAUUCUGGACCCUUUUCCACACGCUUAUCCAGCAUAUCCUUGAAACAAAAUAUUAAGAAACGAACAAUAACGAUAUAUAUUUAGACAGAAAAACAGAACGUUGACAAAUUAAAACUGGUCUGAAAAUUUUCAGUUAUUGAGCCAAUUUUUUUUUUUUUUUUGCUUAAUCUAAAAAGACUGAAUGAUAUCAUUAAAAGAUAUUCUCAAAAAUUUUCUUAUUUAACUAAUUAAUUUCCAUCCUUAUCUAAAUAAAAUUUAACAAUUAGCAUUAUUACCCAUAUUUAUAACUUGUGAAAAUAUAAUAGUAUACUAUUAUUAUUUUUAUCCUUUUAUUUUUCUUCAAAGUAGUAUUAUUUAUCUUCACAAUUUUUUAUGAAUAUUUUUCAUAUAAAAAUAUCAUAAACUAUACUAAUUUAGAAUACAAAGGGUUGCAUUCAAUUGAACAUUAUUUAUAUUAUGAUAAUAUAUUAUCUUAUUUAAGUUCUUAGAAAUGCUUCUUAUUUGUUUAACAUUUAUAAUUCGUAAUGGUACAAAUAAAAAAAUUAUUUUCAGAAUUUUUAAGUUAAAAUAACAAAUAAAUUCAUAUUUAUUUUUAACAAUUCAGAAAAAAAAUGAUUCAGAUUCAGACAUUUAGUUCUAUUCAGAAUUCAAACUAAUUUAUGCAUAUUCGUAUUUCAGUUAAAAAAAAAAAACCUCUAGUUAGCAAUAUGUUUCUGCUCUUUAUCAGCCUAAAUUUAAACCAAAAAAAAAAUCUCUGCACAGCUGCCUAGUCCCUACAUUUAUUAUUGAAAAUAUAUUUGGUCAAGAAUUUACAUUAAAAUUUUAUUUUCAUUUAUUUUAAUUAAUUGUCACUCGCCUUUGACCGAGUGAUAGGUCAUUGCAAUGAUUCGAGUUCUUAUUACUUCCUUUGUAAUGAUAAAAAUUAGGUUAUAAUAUAAUAUUAUCAGUGGUAAAAAAAAUAUUUAAAAAAAAGGAACACAAAAUAUUCGUAUCUACUAACUGCAACUAAUUCUUUUUAAAAAUAAAAAAUAAAAUUCUACACAACCAUAAGAACUCUAGCCAUUUUAUAGAUGUAUAGGGGAGAAAGUGCCACCAACCCAGUUAUAGAAUUAUAGAGUCAUAUUUUUAGAAUUCAUCAAAAUGACGCAACGAUCUAUUAAUCUAUGCUACGAUUAUAUUAAAAUUGGCACAACAAAGUAAUGCAUGCCUAUCCAAAAUAUGGCUGUAUAUUCCCGUGUCUGUUUAUGAUCAAUACCCUUAUACUUUUCUUAUUUAAUGAAUGAUACACAUUUCUGAUUUCUUCCUCAUACCUAAACCAAAAAAAAAAAAGAUGUAGAAUGGCAGAAACAAAUAUGAAAAAAGCACAUUAAUUGUUUUUCAUAAUUACACAAUUAAAGAAUUAAUCUGACUGCUAGCUCCUUAAUUCUGAAACUUCAACGUUGAAAAUUAAUAUAUCAUACUACUAGCCAGCUGGCUAGCAUGAAUUGAUCAGGGGCAUUGCGGAUUUCUUCCAGGGCCUCCAUAGUAAAAAUGUGU